rnacentral:pre_miRNA from 1 species
GGGCUGGUUUGGUACCGAACCGGCUGAGUCAAAGGAUAAUUCCACCGGUUCGGUACCAAACCGGCCC